rnacentral:rRNA from 1 species
AACGAACGCUGGCGGCAUGCCUAACACAUGCAAGUCGAACGAGACCCUCGGGUCUAGUGGCGCACGGGUGCGUAACGCGUGGGAAUCUGCCCUUCGGUUGGGAAUAACUGAGAGAAAUUUCAGCUAAUACCUUAUAAUGUCUUCGGACCAAAGAUUUAUCGCCGAGGGAUGAGCCCGCGUAGGAUUAGGUAGUUGGUGGGGUAAUGGCCUACCAAGCCGACGAUCCUUAGCUGGUCUGAGAGGAUGAUCAGCCACACUGGGACUGAGACACGGCCCAGACUCCUACGGGAGGCAGCAGUGGGGAAUAUUGGACAAUGGGCGAAAGCCUGAUCCAGCAAUGCCGCGUGAGUGAUGAAGGCCUUAGGGUUGUAAAGCUCUUUUACCCGGGAUGAUAAUGACAGUACCGGGAGAAUAAGCUCCGGCUAACUCCGUG